rnacentral:lncRNA from 1 species
UUGGUCAAUCAGAAAAAAAAAAAGGCAACAAAUAAUCCCCAAACACACCAAACCCCCAAAUUUUGGUUUUUAUUUUAUUCUGAUCCUGUGCAGUUAUCUGUUCUCCCCUCAAUGCUUCAAAAAUUGAUUUUAUCCACUUUCUGUGACCAGCAAGUAAGCUUUUGUUACAGUGUUUCUUCUGUUGUGUCAUGCUUCAUACCUGAACUUCAGAUUUAACUAAAAUUAACUUGUUCUUUUCUAUCCUAUGUCUACAUUAUACCUGUUUCAAGGAGAAAAAUCUUAAAAGUGGCAACUGAAAUUUUCCUCCCUGUGAAAAAGGUGUAGAUUUCAAAGAGAUUGCUGCAUCUGCAAAGAGGUACAGACUGAGAAUGUCCAGAAGGUGUCAUUUCCAGCUGCACUUCCUUGUGCUGGAAAAGAAGAAUUUCUGUGGAUGCUAUGUGAAGGUGCCCACAUGGGCUUGCAUAUUCCAGACAAGAUCACUGAGAUUAUAACACUGAAAAUGAUUCUUGCUUCCUAUAUGAUCAGCUUCUGGAAGAUACAUUACCCAGCUUUACUUAUCAGUCAUGCAAGUAGCAUUGUUUAAAAAGUUGGUAAGUG